rnacentral:rRNA from 1 species
UACGUAGGGCGCAAGCGUUAUCCGGAAUUAUUGGGCGUAAAGAGCUCGUAGGCGGUUUGUCGCGUCUGCUGUGAAAAUUCGGGGCUUAACUCCGGGCCUGCAGUGGGUACGGGCAGACUAGAGUGCGGUAGGGGAGACUGGAAUUCCUGGUGUAGCGGUGAAAUGCGCAGAUAUCAGGAGGAACACCGGUGGCGAAGGCGGGUCUCUGGGCCGUAACUGACGCUGAGGAGCGAAAGCGUGGGGAGCAAACAGG